UAGCGUAGGGGCAGCGUUGUCCGGAUUUAUUGGCGUAAAGAGCGUGUAGGCGGUUAGGUAGGUCCGUUGUGAAAACUCGAGGCUCAACCUCGAGAACCGCCGAUGGAAACCAUCUAACUAGAGUCCGGAAGAGGAGAGUGGAAUUCCGUGGUGGUAGCGGUGAAAUGCGCAAGAUAUCAGGAAGAACACCCGUGGCUAAGGCGGCUCUCUAGUACGGUACUGGACGCUGAGACGCGAAAGCGUGGGGAGCGAACAGG
rnacentral:rRNA from 1 species